rnacentral:rRNA from 1 species
CUGCUAUCGGAUGAUACUAAGCCAUGCGAGUCUUUGUAGUAAUACAAGGCAGACGGCUCAGUAACACGUAGUCAACCUACCCUAUGGACGAGAAUAAUCUCGGGAAACUGAGCAUAAUUCUCGAUAGAUCAUAAUGCCUGGAAUGGUUUAUGGUUAAAAUGAUUCGUCGCCAUAGGAUGGGACUACGGCCUAUCAGCUUGUUGGUGAGGUAAUGGCCCACCAAGGCGAUUACAGGUACGGGCUCUGAGAGGAGAAGCCCGGAGAUGGGUACUGAGACACGGACCCAGGCCCUAUGGGGCGCAGCAGGCGAGAAAACUUUGCAAUGUGCGAAAGCACGACAAGGUUAAUCCGAGUGAUUUCUGCUAAAGAAAUCUUUUGCCAGUCGUAAAACCGCUGGUGAAUAAGGGGUGGGCAAGUUCUGGUGUCAGCCGCCGCGGUAAAACCAGCACCUCAAGUGGUCAGGAUGAUUAUUGGGCCUAAAGCAUCCGUAGCCGGCUUUGUAAGUUUUCGGUUAAAUCCAUGUGCUCAACGCAUGGGCUGCCGAAAAUACUGCAUAGCUAGGGAGUGGGAGAGGUAGACGGUACUCAGUAGGUAGGGGUAAAAUCCUUUGAUCUAUUGAUGACCACCUGUGGCGAAGGCGGUCUACCAGAACACGUUCGACGGUGAGGGAUGAAAGCUGGGGGAGCAAACCGGAUUAGAUACCCGGGUAGUCCCAGCUGUAAACGAUGCAGACUAGAUGAUGCAUUGGCAUAAUAGCCAUUGCAGUGUCUCAGGGAAGCCGUUAAGUCUGCCGCCUGGGAAGUACGUACGCAAGUAUGAAACUUAAAGGAAUUGGCGGGGAGCACCACAAGGGUGAAGCUGCGGUUCA